UUUCUCUUAGCUUAAGUUAAAAGCGCUAAUUUGAAGAGUUAGAGUUAGUUUUAUUACUAGAGAAAA
rnacentral:tRNA from 1 species